UACGUAGGUGGCGAGCGUUGUCCGGAAUUAUUGGGCGUAAAGAGCUCGUAGGCGGUCUGUCGCGUCUGCUGUGAAAACCUAGGGCUUAACUCUGGGCGUGCAGUGGGUACGGGCAGGCUAGAGUGCGGUAGGGGAGACUGGAAUUCCUGGUGUAGCGGUGAAAUGCGCAGAUAUCAGGAGGAACACCGGUGGCGAAGGCGGGUCUCUGGGCCGGUACUGACGCUGAGGAGCGAAAGCGUGGGGAGCAACAGG
rnacentral:rRNA from 1 species